CAGCAGUUUGUGAAUGGGUGGAAGCAGGCAGUCUUUCUCUAACCAUGUGGUCUGUCCCAGAAAUGAGCUCAAGGAUUCCUGAUGCCAUCUCUUCUGAUGACCCAUGCACCAAACGAGCAUCAAGCUGCUGCACUGCAUGGCUGGAGUCCUCAGUCACAAAGCAUCGCAGCAUGACAUAUCCAAAACCUGAUGGUAAGGAAGAAGGAAGCUUAUCUUCCUGAAGACAGAG
rnacentral:lncRNA from 1 species